GAUAAAUCAUACACGUAGUUAUAUAAAUAUAUAAUUUUUUUUUUAAAUAAUCACUAUCAAAAAUGGAUGCCAACAUUUAUUGAGAAAAUAAAAUGACAAAAUUUUAUAACAAAUGAAUAAGUGUUAAAGGAAACCUGAAAAAGACCAAUGGUGUGUGUGUCUGUUUCAGAGGGAGGACAAAUCUGCAUGAAAUGUUCUCAUGUUGCCCAUCCUGAUUGUGGACAAGUGGAACGGUGCCAAGAUUACGAGAAAUGUAAGUCUGACCCUGGAAUAAUCUCAUCCGGAUUUGGAAGAAGACAAACAGAAAGUUUGACAGUUUGCGAAAAAUGUUGCAACGACACAGCUAUUUGUAAUGCAAGAGGACUAUGUGGUGACAUAAGUUUUCAAAUACAAGGUCCAAUUUGUUUUCAGUGUCCAGAUGCUUUAAAAUCGAAUGAUUGCGAUUUAAUAACAACGUGUUUCAAACAUGAGGUAUUAUUUAAUGACAA